GUGGCACACUCUCCUCCUGGCAACAGUGGUGCCCACAUUAGGUGUGGCUUGCGAACUGCGUGAUGCUGAGAUGGCUCUAGACGUGGUGUCACUACCCCCAGGGCAGGAGUCACAGCUCAGGCCACCCCGGGGGUCAAGAUUGAGGUUCGUGAGGCACAGACAAGCUUAUUCUAAAAUUUAUGUGGAAAGGCACAGAUCUUAAACUACCCCAAAAGUCUUGAAAUAGAAAAAUGAAGUGGAAGAACCAGGCUUCUCGAUGUUAAUGCUUACCAUACAACUGCUGAAAGGAAGAUGGUGUGGUAUCCAUGGAGACACACUGCAGACCCUGGGAUGUUACAGUUGCAAACCAGGCGACUGACAAGAGAAUCAUACCUACAAUUUAUUAAGAGUUUUUAAAAUUCAGCAUUAAAAAAAGCCAAUCCAAUUAGAAAACGGGCAAAAGAUGAACAGAUCUUUCACCAAAGAGGAGACACAGAUGGCGAAUAAAAAUCAUCAAUGUUCAACAUCAUUAGCCACUAGGAAGAUACAAGUUAAAACCACAAUGAGACACAACCACAUGCCUAUAAAAACAUCUAGAAUAAGAAUACAGCGACAAACUCAUAUAUUGGCAGGGAUGCGGAGAAACUGGAUCUCUUAUACACUGCUGGUUGGAGUGCACAAUGGUGCGGCCACUCUGGAAAACCGUUUGGCAGUUUCCCACAAAACUCGACCUGCAGCCAUCAUAUGACCCAGCCGUGGCUCUCCUGGGCAUGCAUCCCAGAGAAAUAAAACUUUUGUUCACACAAUACCUUUA